CUUGCAGGUGUCCACUUCCGAGGGUUCCUGACCCUGCCCCUGGACAACCACCCCUUCUCAGACUCCUCGGCCAGGAUUCUCCAAACCUGCUUCCGCAAUGGGUAAUGAGGAGCUGUGGGUGCAGCCAGCCUUGGAGAUGCCGAAAAGACGGGACAUCCUUGCGAUCGUCCUCAUCGUGCUGCCCUGGACACUGCUCAUCACCGUGUGGCACCAGACCACCCUGGCACCCCUGCUCGCCAUGCACAAGGAUGAGGGCGGUGACCCCAGGCGAGAAGCGCCCGACCCCAGGGAGUACUGUAUGUCUGACCGCGACAUCGUGGAGGUGGUGCGCACGGAGUAUGUGUACACGCGGCCGCCACCCUGGUCCGACACGCUGCCCACCAUCCACGUGGUGACGCCCACCUACAGCCGCCCGGUGCAGAAGGCCGAGCUCACGCGCAUGGCUAACACCUUGCUGCAUGUGCCCAACCUGCACUGGCUGGUGGUGGAGGACGCACCGCGCCGCACCCCACUGACCGCGCGCCUUCUUCGAGACACUGGCCUCAACUACACACACCUGCACGUGGAGACACCCCGCAACUACAAGCUGCGAGGCGACGCCCGUGACCCACGCAUCCCAAGGGGCACCAUGCAGCGCAACCUGGCCCUGCGCUGGCUGAGGGAGACCUUCCCGCGAAACUCCACCCAGCCUGGCGUGGUGUACUUCGCAGAUGACGACAACACCUACAGCCUGGAGCUCUUCGAGGAGAUGCGCAGCACCAGGAGGGUGUCCGUGUGGCCAGUUGCUUUUGUUGGUGGCCUUCGGUACGAGGCCCCGCGGGUGAACGGGGCAGGGAAGGUGGUUGGCUGGAAGACAGUGUUCGACCCCCACCGACCAUUUGCAAUAGACAUGGCUGGAUUCGCCGUCAACCUGCGGCUCAUCCUACAGCGGAGCCAGGCCUACUUCAAGCUGCGCGGCGUGAAGGGAGGUUACCAGGAAAGCAGCCUGCUCCGAGAGCUCGUCACCCUCAAUGACCUGGAGCCCAAGGCAGCCAACUGCACCAAGAUCCUGGUCUGGCACACACGCACAGAGAAGCCAGUGCUGGUGAAUGAGGGCAAGAAGGGCUUCACUGACCCCUCGGUGGAGAUCUGAGCCUCAGGAUGCAGGUGGCAGGUGCCAGAUUGCACCCACAUAGUGAAGUCCUGCCACCAGACACUUGGGAUGGCAUCACCUCGCUCACCAUUUUACUGUACCCUAGCCCACAGCAAGAGACCGCUACUCAGACAUGCACAGCAGGAGCCUGCUCCUCAGACCCUGUUCUCAGCCUCCAUCCUCUCCCCAUGGCUGCUGGGCCUCCACAGCAGAGUCCCGAGGAAGCAUCAUCACCUGCUUGCUAUUCUGGAGGCCUCUCUGGGGCCCAGCUUGUUGCCAGGACAAAGAACAGAGAAUUUAAGCACAGAAAUCCCAGACCUAUUCUCUCCAUCCAACAUGACCCAGGGCCUGAGAGACUGAGGGCUGAGGGAUGCAGCUGCCAGCAGCGCUGGUGCCCAGAACACUCUGGAUUAGGUCCCUGCAUGGACAGGGCCUGGGCACCCACAUGGGGCUGGGAGGAAGGUGAGAAGACCCACAGUCAAGGGGACACAGCCCAUGCUGGCUCCCUGCUUCUGCACGACCACACAGGCUGCCAGGGAGUACAGAAGACAAGAGAGAAGCCCAGGGGCAUCACACAUGCCCCAUGCCCCUCCCCGGCACCUGCUCUUCCUGAGCACUGCUCCCAAAUCAGACAUACCUCUGGCUCUCCUCCGGUCCAUGUUUACAGAGCAUCAGGCUGUCUUUGAACCCAACUGGCACUUAGCCCUGCAUGGGGGAGCCUGGGCCUGCUGGCAACCCCUGUACCUCAGGCUGUGACAGGAGCGGAGCCCCUCCCUUUUGCCCACUUCCCUCAAGCCUUCUCCUCCAGCACUGGCAAGGAGGCAGCCCAGAGCCAGCACAGGUCACCGACUGACCUGCACCCAGAACCACACGACCCCACUGUCCACACACUGCCUCCCACAGCCCUGGGCUGCGAAGCUGCUUGCCUGGCCUGGACCCAGAAAGGGAGAGGCCCACUUCCUCAACACCCUCAGACCUCAGGGCUGGAGGAGCAGUGGUGGGCAGGCAAAAGCUCCUUUGGCCAAAGAGCGGAGGAAGGCUAGGGCAACCCCGAGGUCCUCCUGCCCAGUCUUGGUGUGUGUGUGUGUGUAGGAGGGGAUGGAAGAGGGAUCUAGGGAAAGAGAGCAGACAACCGCUGAGCACUGAGAAGAGACCUGAGCAUACACUGCUUUGGAAAUCAUUCAUUUUUAAAAAUAGGAAAGAAAUCUCACUUCUCUCUAAGUUGGGAACUCGCAGAGCCAGCUCUCCUCUUGUCCUGCUGCCUUCUCCACCCCGAGAGAACAGUGUGCAGUGAGCGGCUGCCCUCCACUGGCGGGCGCUGGACAGGCCCCGGCCUGCAACCCACACAGGCCCUCUGGUGGUGAUCCAGAGCAUUCUCCUGCAGGUUGGAAGCACAAUUUUUCUCCCAAGAGGAGGAAAAGGAAAGGGCCCAAGCCCACUGAAGAGGUGUUUAUUUUUUAACUGCUAAUAGCCCCUUACUCCAUUAAAACUCACAGGACACAUCUGUGGACCACUGAAAACCCAAUCCCAGGUUGGGUGGGACUCAGUGCAGCGACCUAACUUUCAGAGCAUAGCAUUGGCUGCCUGUCUGGAAAUGGACUUCACAUCCCAUGGUGUUCACGAGACCACCUGAUGGGAUCAGGUCCAGAGCCACCUCAUAGGACAUCUUCCCAACCUCGACACUUGGAAACAGAUCCCUGGCAUCAAGUGAGGUGGCAUGGGAGAGGGAGCAGGUGGGCACAGGACAUACACCAGCGAGUGAACUUCCAUCUGGGCACUCUACUGCCUCACUCAUGAAAGCAGCCCUGAAUGCCAAGGUCAGAUGGGCUGGUCUGAGGCAAUCUUCUUAGCCAGAAACCAGGGCUCAUUUUCAGGAAAUUGACAGUGAACAACAAAAUAGGGAAUUUUUUUGGCAGAUGCUAGUUCAGUUGUUUUUUGCCUAAUAUCCUCCCUUAGUGCAUGUAUAUUUAUUUAUAAUUAUAACCCUGGUGGACUGCAGCCUUCUCUUUGUUGGGAAUGAGUUUGUUAUGAAUCAGAACUAGUCCAUGACAGCAACCUGUUCUCCACACCCAGGCUACUCCCUGUUCCCAUUGCUGGCAAGCCGGCCCAAAGCAGUGGGGCCAGGGUUAGGCAUUCCCAGGGCAGAGGCUGGGGUAAGCGUGAGGCCCAGGCAGCUGCACCAUCUGCUCUGUUUUCAUUUAAAUGUAAUUUGUUUUCAAAAUUAAAAGUCAAAUAUGGUUUUUAACAGUCAAAAUCCUCUUUGGCCCUGCCUUAUUUUAUUCUCAUUUAUUGAUUUAGUCAUCUAACAAGUAUUCACAGUGUGCCUACUAUGACCAGGUGUUGUUCUAAAAGCCAGCACACAGCCAUAGGAAAACAAAAUCCUGGUCCUCAUGUAGCUCACCCUCUAUCAAGAGGACUCAGCUGACAAAGGCACAGCAUUUCAAGUGUGAUCUGCUGUAAGGAGAGACCUUGUUGGGGAGUGGAGUGUAGCAGCACUGAGAGUGGCUAAGGUUCCAAGUGGGGCGGUCAGAAAGGUCACCCCAAAGCAGUGAUUUUGAGCAGAGCAGCAACAGCCUGACAUGCAGUUCAUAGGAUCAGAGCAUCCUCCAAAUAGAGCUCUUGUCAGGCAGGAGGGCACUUAGCAUGUUCACAGCUCAUCCAGAAAGCUCCUGCUUCUCCAACUGAUUGGGCAAGGGAAGAGGGUGAGGUGUGGUGGGAGACGAGGAGGCACAUAAGAUGGUGCUGUGGGUAAAGCUGUCAGUUUCUACCUUGUGUAAAACAAGAAGGCAUGGGCGGGUUUAGCACAGGGGACCAACAUGAUCCAACUGGCUUUCUAGAAGAAUGAUUUUGCUCUUCAUGCUGACAGAUGGAGAAAGCAAGGACCAGCAGGAAGGCAGGUCCUGCAAAAACCCAGGUAGAGACCAUGGCAGGCCUUCUGAGGGUGCAAGCUUCAGGACAGAAAGAAGUGGCUGAAUUGCAGGUAUGUUUUAGGGGGAAAGCCAGGAAGGGAAUGGAAGAAGGAUAUAAAGAAAAGAGCCAGAAAUAAUCACAGGCACACAGAAGAGAACUUCCAUUUCUUGACAUGAGACAGAGUACAGGAGGGGCCAUGUGGGGGGAAUCGGAAUUCGGUUUCAGAUGCCUGCUACACAUAUGGAGAUGGUGAGGGGACAGCUUCCCGUGCACCUGGCACGUGAAUGGGGACCAACAUCGAAAGGUACUGGCAUCAGGCUGUUUACAAAGCCACAGGCCUCACCGGUAUGGCCACUGCAGUGAGUAUGGAUAGGAACGAAGCCCUGUGUUAAGUUUCAAUUCCCUGCCACACUUUCCAGCAGAGCUGAGCUUUGCAGAAACCUUGCUGCUAUGUAAUGCACAAUAAAGUGACACUGUGACAUCGUUCCAUGGCUCAGGCUACACCCAAGGGAGUCUGGGAUCAACCACCUCUUAACUCAAUGCCUACCAUUCCAGUGAGCUCAGAAAGAGCUGGUGCAUGAGUGUGGACAAAAUUAGGGGUUGUACCUCUGUCUUUCUCUCCUUCCACUGUCCACAACCUAAACUUUAAUAAGCUUCAUUUCUCUACCCAGCACGGGACCCUUGGGCAGCAGGGGUACCCUCACUUAUGGAUCCUGUGUUUGGGCAUCCUGCCCUCUGCCUGUAGGCUAUGGCUCCUUGCUCCACUCUUCCCAACCCCAUGAAAGCACUGUGCUCAAAACAGGUGCGCUGUUUUGCCUUUGACUAUUACUGAAGAUAAUUAGUUUUAGGUAAUGCAUGCCAAAUGUAGUUUAUGAAGAAAAUACCACUACCCACCACCAUACCUAACUUAGUGUUCUUGAUUGUUUGGUGCAUUUUUAAUCCUGUCCAUCUUCAUGAGAAUGGAUUUGCAUUUGGCCUCUCCUUUCCAGUGACCCUUCCAAUCCAGCAGUAUUUCAAGGAGUGCUAAGAAGCCCGGGGUACAGACUGGCACCAGUUGGGUAGGGUCAGUAUCUAGAUCUUCAAGUACCAGCAGUGAAAUGUGUACCUGACCCUACGAUGCCCUCCCCAAUGGCUUAGAGUGGCACAGAUAAGUCAGACACAUUGGCAAAGAGGGUUUGGUUAAUCUCUAUUGCUUUAUUCAAUUCAGGACAGUGAACCUGAGCUAUCUCAGAGAAAGAGCCUCUAGUCUGGACAAGGAGACAGCUGCACAGGAAGGCUACCUUUCUUCCUGCUGCCUAGUUACAGAAGGCAGGGGACAUACCAAACUGGGGACAAUGCCUGGGCUAGACCUGUGGACCAUCUGGCUACCCCCAACAUUCCCUGGGGGCCACCUGCCCAAUGUCACUUAGCUGGACCUCUGACUUUCUAUCCCUUGAAGUGAGAUGUGGGGUGGACUUUCUGCUACAAUCCACAUUUCCCUUCAAAGUAUACUUCUCAUUGAGUACAACUGGAAAUGCUUUCUAAUUCAGGAGAGUGAGUGGCUAUUUCUGUUUCUCUUAAGUUUAGUGUGUCAUCCUAUCAGACAGACUGCAGGAGUGAAAAAGAGAGAACAUUGUUUCUCAAAUGGAGUGUCUUCCAGAAUCCCAGAGGCAGCUCAGAGAGGGUAGUGAAGAAAAAAAUAAAGUUGACUCAGAUGAGACUGCCCCCUUCCCUAUCCUCUACAACCAGUGACAAACCCACAACUUCAGGGACAGAAAGGGGCCAUGUGGGGUACAGCCCUGGACAUUUGAGAGCACACCUGUGUUCAGCAGACUGACCAGCAGGGCUUUUACUCCAGAGUGGGAGAGGCCCCCAGCUUCAGCACCUUGUCUGGGGACCCAGCAUUCAUCACUGGUAUCUGACUAAACAUUCCCACAUCUCAGAGACAUCCCUGAGGCCUAUCCCAUGAGGGCAAGGAGGUGGGAAAGUACCAGCCACAAAGCCAGGCCAAGGAGCCAUCUAGAGGCAAGGGGUCCCCCAUGCCUUCCACCUUGCUCUCCAGGACCCCCAGGUGGAGGGUUCAGACCAAGGGUAGACUGUGGCCCUCAGGUCCCUGAGAAUGCUACUUAAGGAGACUCCUACAGGGAGGUGAAGAUAGCAAGUCCAAGAAGGAGGCACGGGGCUGCUGCUCAGUGAAUGUACUGGUUCCUGCCCAGGUGGGGGA